CCCAACCUCAACCUGCAGGUAGGAGGAGCUACACACCACCAUACCCCACCUCAACCUGCAGGUAGGAGGAGCUACACACCACCAAACCCUACCUCAACCUGCACGUAGGAGGAGCUACACACACCACCAAACCCAACCUCAACCUGCAGGUAGGAGGAGCUACACACACCACCAAACCCAACCUCAACCUGCAGGUAGGAGGAGCUACACACACCACCAAACCCAACCUCAACCUGCAGGUAGGAGGAGCUACACACCACCAAACCCAACCUGCAGGUAGGAGGAGCUACACACACCACCAAACCCCACCUCAACCUGCAGGUAGGAGGAGCUACACACACCACCAAACCCAACCUCAACCUGCAGGUAGGAGGAGCUACACACACCACCAAACCCAACCUGCAGGUAGGAGGAGCUACACACACCACCAAACCCAACCUGCAGGUAGGAGGAGCUACACACACCACCAAACCCAACCUCAACCUGCAGGUAGGAGGAGCUACACACACCACCAAACCCAACCUGCAGGUAGGAGGAGCUACACACACAACCAAACCCAACCUGCAGGUAGGAGGAGCUACACACACCACCAAACCCUACCUCAACCUGCAGGUAGGAGGAGCUACACACCACCAAACCCAACCUCAACCUGCAGGUAGGAGGAGCUACACACACCACCAAACCCAACCUCAACCUGCAGGUAGGAGGAGCUACACACACCACCAAACCCUACCUCAACCUGCAGGUAGGAGGAGCUACACACACCACCAAACCCAACCUCAACAUGCAGGUAGGAGGAGCUACACACCACCAAACCCAACCUCAAC